AAAUUUAUUGUCUUUCUUAAUCUUCUUCUAAUAUAUAAAAUUCUCGUGUCACAGUUUUCGUUGCCAUACUCCUCCGAAACGGCUUGACCGAUUUUGAUGAAAUUUUUUGUGCUUAUCCGGUAUCUAUGAGAAUCGGCCAACAUCUAUUUUUCAUCCCCCUAAAUGUUAGGGGUAGUCCACCCCUAAAUUUUUUUUUUAUUUUUUAGACAAAAUUUUUAAUUUCUAUUUUUUUAUGAUACAACAUACAAAAAUACAUACAAUCCUCAAUUUUCACCCUUCUACGAUCAACACUUAUUUUUAUUUGCUAAUUAAAAACUAAAUUUUUUUGCAAGAAUUUUGUUUUUAUUUUGUCAUGACUUAGAAUAAAAAAAAUUAUAGUACUCUGAAAUUUUCACCCCUCUACGUUCAACCCCUAUUUUUUAUUUGUUAAUUAUAAAUUUUACAUUUUUUUGGCAAGAUUUUAUUUUUUAUUUUGUCAUGACUUAAAAUAAAAAUAAAAUAUAUUACUCUCAAUUUUCACUCUUAUACGAUCAACCCCUAUUUUUCCAUCCCGAUUUUUAUUUUUUUUAUUCUAUGCACAGAUCCGCAAUAAGGUUGCAAGAUGGCAAUCAAAUAUUAUAAUUGUAGUACGAUAAAUUCUUAUUCUGAGUAUAAUUUCAAGUUCCUUUAAUUAUGAUUUUUUUUUAAAUUCAAUCGAUCAGUUAUCCCCGCCAGGUGUCGCCUCUCAUCCAGCAAACAUCACGUAGUAGGGAUGAGGACGAAGCCGGUCUCCUGUCUUACUCACUAUACAUUUUUCAGCCAUGUUUCUUUGGUUUUAUUUGUGUAUCAAUCGUAGCUUGCCAGCCAUGUUUUUUUGGUUUUAUUUGUGUAUCAAUAGUAUGUUCAGUAGGUCUGAGAAUCGGCUACUAUCUAUAUUUCAUACCCCUAAGUGAUAAGGACUGUCCACCCCAAACAUUUUUUAUUUUUUUUCUUGGUUAUAAUGAGGUAUAGUCCCCGGCACGUAACUUGGCAAGAGUCGCUAGAUGCGCAGAAGUCGUUUUUUAGGUCUCUUUGGUUGUCAAGCGGGACGCGGGGACAGACGUAGCACCGUUGCGAGCGCGCGAUUGGUAAGUCAGUCGACCCUCCCCUCCCGCACCGCGUCCACGUUCCGUUCGCUCCCGGUUACACAUGCGCCUACUAAAGUUGUAGGAACCCUUUGUUUAUAUUGAGUUUUUGUUACGAGUUGUUGUUACUGUUUUAAAUUUAGUUUUUGUUACGAGUGUUAUUGUUUUAAAUUUGCUUGCAAUGGCAGGACCAAAUACCAAUGACCAUAAUUAUUGUCGAUUCAGUCACUGAGCGUUUUAUUAUUUACGCCAGUGACGACAGCGACUCUUCGUUAUGUCGACGAUGAGGACGAGGUCGAGGGAGCCAACUCCUUCCACCAGCUCAGGUGCUACCAUAAAUUUAAUCCAAGGGGUAGCACUAUUAGAAAAUGAUAGUGACGACGGCGACACAUAAUUGUUAAUAUUAAGUAUAUUUUUUUAAAUAAAAUUUUUAACUUUUAAUUGUAUUUUAUUUAUAACACCUAAUACACUUCACGAAUUCCUCUCUUUUCUUUAACUUUCUUCUAAACACAAAAACAAAUUAUGGCAAAUAAAAAAUUUAAUAAAAUAAAAUUAACAUAUAUGCGGGCAAUAAAAGUGACCAUUUUUUUGUUGCAAUGUACACUAUGCGCGACAUUACCCCCACUACACCAAAACCUUGCCAACUUACGUGCCGUAUAUUAUAUGGUUGAAUGAGGUUUGUGAGAAUUUUAUAUAUUAGACUAGAAUUUCCCUAGAAAUCUUAUUUAAGGCAACACAACGUUUGCCGGGUCAGCUAGUAAAUAAAUAAAAUUGAAUCAUUGAGUUAUUUGGUUACCUUGAAACUACCCACAUUUUCAGUUUCUAUGAAACCGAUUCCGUAAAGUCAUCAUACUUAUAUUUUUAAAAGUCACAUAAUUCUUCAUUAAAUUCGGUUAAAUUUUACGUUGUCUAUACUAAUAUUAACUAAUCUUAUAAAGAGGAAAGAUUUGUUUGUUUGUGUUGAAUAGGCUCCGAAACUACUGAACCGAUUUGAAUAAUUCUUUCACUGUUUGGAACCUACACUAUUCCCGAGUGACAUAGGCAUAUUAUAAUCUUUUUUGAAAAAAAUUACGUUUCCUUACUAAAACUCCAAUAAUGUAACCCAAAGUGUAAAAAAAUACCUAAAAUAUUCUUUACAUCGCGUGCCCUGCGAAAACUAUUGAUAAUAGAAUAAAAUAAUAUACGACGACUUUGUAGAACACAUUAUUAUUUACAAAAGUGUCGUGACAGCAUAUGUCUAACUAUUAUAGUUAUGCCGCAAUAAGUGUUCUUUUAUUUUAAAAAAUAAAACAACGUCGUUGAAAUUUUUGUUAAAGACCCGAGCGGAGCCAGAGCGGCGGCUAGUCGUAAAUAUUUAUUAAAAAAGUAAAAAAAAAAAAAAACGGAUUAAGUACGGGAGUUAUCUAAACGUCGUUUAUUAAUAAGGCCCUAAUGUGUAUUCAAACACAUGAAUUGCAUCAACAACUUAUAUGUAUACAUAUCUUUAAAAAAUACUGUUUCAUUAAAAAAAAAAUAACCUUCAAUUUCAUAUACAGUCGUGAGUUCUGGAAUAUACUCGCGUAUUAGUAAGGACUUAGGCCGACCGUUUUUAUUUUUGAAUGCGCACAAUUUCACAGACGUAACAUAAACUCAGCUGUAAUCCCACGGGAAGCAGUCACGCGGGGCUUACAUUAUUACAUAUCUACGUAAAAAAUACCUACAUUUUUUAUGCGUAAAUGUUCGCCGCUUGUUAGAAACAGUGUCCUACUUUUGCGAGAGAAUAAACUGAAAUUAACAACGAGUUUUGCGUAUAAUUUAAUAUAUUUUUCGACUACGCAAUUUCGAUAUUGAUAAUAUAAUCAAUCUAGGAAUAGUACACGGUAUUUUCUUUUUUGCUUAUAUUUUUACUGCCGAUAUAAAAGAUAAAACGUACUAUAACAAAUUCCUAAUCUACACCAUAUUAUAAUGCAUUAAAUAAUAACGUAGGUAAUUAUUGAUUUGCCUCAUUAAAAUCAAGAAGAAUAUUAAUAGUCUUUGUACUUCAACAUAAGAACACAUUCACUGCCUGAUGCGUACCUAUUAACGUUGUUAAUAUCAUUAGUGGCACUUGUUUUUCAAGCAAUCGCUUGCGAAUACAAAUUAAUAAAAAUAAAAACUAGUAAUCGUACUGCUAUGAACACUGUAAGACAGAAGUUCACCACGCAAUAUAAACAAGGUCUUGGGAAACCUAUCCCGAAACCGAAGACUCGUGGUGGCUCUGAAGUAUUGAUGACAUUGAGAAAUAUAUUUUUUAUUACACUAAGAUACUGUACGCGAUUAAACUCAAAUUAACAACUCAGCAACGCACAAUGAAUGUUCACGGACACUCUCAGCAAAGGGCGUCCACUCGUUGUCUAAUGUUUACAAAGCAGAUUCACAACAUAUGAAAUAAAUAAAGGACAAAUAUUUAUCAUAACUAGAGGUCCCGCAGUAGUCGAAAUUCGACUAUAAUUAAUUGGAAUUGUAAGUUUGUACACUAUUAUGAUUGUAUUUUAUACUUCUAUAAUCACAAAUUUCGCCAAGGCUACACUAUAAAAAAAUAUUAAUAAAGACAAACAAUAUUUAAUCUAUUCUCAAUUUGAUCACUGACGUCAAGAACAAAAGUUUGACAAUAAAUAGUAUGCAUGCGUGUGUGCGUCAAAUACAUGGUAUGUAGUGUGUGUAAUGUUUUCUUUAUUGAUUUAACGUAUCUUUAAUGCAUUAUUUAAAAAAAAAUAUUAGCAUUGUGCACUUCUUCUCUAUAUUCUCUAUAAGUGUGGAAAAUUUCAUACUCCUCCGUCUACGCAAUUUUCGUAAAAAGGGAUACAAAGUUUUUGCUUCACGUAUUAAUAUAUAGAUAAUAUCUUAGUAUAAUAUGAUUUUUUUUUAUUACUUAGAUGGAUGGACGAGCUCACAGUCCACCUGGUGUUAGUGGUCACUGGAGCCCAUAGACAUCUUCAAAGAAAAUGCGCCAUCCACCUUGGGAUAUAGUUCUAAGGUCUCAGCUAAUACAACGGCUACCCCACCCCUCAAACCGAAACGCAUCGCUGCUUCACGGCAGAAAUAGGCGAGGUGGUGGUACCUACACGUGCGAACUCACAAGAGGUCCUACCACCAGUAAAAAUGAAAUAUGAACAUAAUAUAUACAAACAAAAAAACUGACUGCAACUAUUUAAAAUAAGAAUAUCGUCAAUCUAGUCGAAGUUAAUUAAAAAUGCAUUAUUACGCGAGUCUUGUGCUCGUUCUACUUAAUAUAUUUAUAAAUAAAUAAAAACGUAUAUCAGUAAACCUAAUCACGUAUCCCACAUAUUGCUUAAAACAUAAAUUCUUAAACACAUUAAUAAAGCUAUAGUUUUUAAAAACGCACAUAACAUAGUAUUCGAAAAAUAUAUUUAUUUUACAAACACACUACGCAGUGGUAAAGGCAUUAACAUUAAACAGACAUUGAUAAUAAGGACACGUUUGUGUGAAUAACAAAAAGCUUAAUAAAUUCGAUCACAUCCUCGUUGACUAAAUACCUGUUACUCGAGUAAUAAGGUCGAAUUCUUUUGGUGAAUAAUACAGAAGUACGUAUUCGUUGUGUGAUUAUCAACAUUUAGUCUCAAAAGAUACUAAAAUAUUUAACUAUGGAGUCAUGUAUUUUGAUUUAUGAGAUGAUAUCUAGCGUACAACUAAUCGACUUAAUUGAAAAAGAUCAACGGCAAAAUCCAGCCUCGGGAUCCAUGAAGAAUUUUUAAAUCUUGAACAAGAACAUAUCACAGUGUACACGUGCAUGAUAAUAACUGAAAGGGCGUUAGUAUGUCGUAUGUAAUGUCGAGUGUUAGUAUGCCGUCAGCUCCGAUAGUCAUCGCUGCUAUGGUUAGAUGAUACAAAAAUCAACGAGAUCUCAAAUAUUUAUCUAGAAUACCCUAUGGUUAAUGCGGUACAACAUACAGACAAAAAAAACCUUUACCAGUAGCUCCAUUCCAGUGAAGUUCCAUUGAACGCUCAACAGUCUAACAUGUUUUUUUUUUAAUACCUAGAAUGCAUAAUGAAAUAUUUGGACACGACGAAAUCGGAAUUUAAAAGUCAUAGUGACCUAGCAAUUGAACUUUUAUUAAUGGUGUAUUUAUUUCCACAGCAAUAGAAAAGAACAAAAAAAAAACAAACAUAAAGUCUAAUGUACAAAAAUGCAUUUUGCGUCUUUAUUGGUUCGUGCCCUGUGCUGUCGCGCAUCGUUUAUAUUGUUACGCCGGUAAGAGUACGCCAUAUAGAUGGCGUUACUCUUACCGGCGUAACAGCGAUAGCGCCGAAAGUCUAACGAAUAUCGAAGGGUAAAGUAGCACCUAGAACGCUCGAGAAGUACAACGCCAUCUAUUGUCAGAUAGCGGAAACAUAAUACUCGAAAUGUAUGGAAUAUUCUCGAUAAUUCUAGGGAUGUGGUAUCGGCUCUAAAAGCGUUACAGAGAUAGCACGCAGUUAGUCAGUAAUCGGAACUACUCGAAGCGAAACAAACGAAACCUGAAGCGAAGCGGAAGAAGCGAAUUGAGAAUUUUAAAGUGUUUGUGAAGUGUUUUAAGUGUUGAAUACAGUUUUGAGUUAUACUUCGGUGGAAUUUUAUUUAUUCCGAACCCCAGCGCGUAACAAUAUUAUGAAGUUGAAGUUUUGGACACUUCUGCUCUUGGUUACAUGGUAAAGGCUUCCGGAAUAAUACCAUCAACGAACAAAAGGUGGCACGUGACCAAUAAAAAAACCUACGCAUUUCGCUUCGUAUUUCUCGAUAGCAAAUAAAGCACAAGCAGGUAUCACUUGUUUAAAUUAAAUCAAGUUAUAUUGGUUUCAUACCAGUCUAUCCUUGAAAAUGUCAAUAUUUGUGCCAGGCAACAACUACUACAAACAUUUAUGUCUACUGAGUACUGACCGACCAGUGAUGACGGUAUUAUUUAAAUUUUGGAAUGUAAUAAUUAUACUAUACAAAUAAAUUUAUUCAACAUUAUGCAUUUAUAUAUAUUCAUCUGUAUGCACAAAUAGUACAGCGGUGAAUCAAAGAUGGUGUAGACAGUACACUGAGAUGUGCUUUGCUUUAUUGUUACUUAUUAAAGAGGAAAUAAGAACAAAUAAAAACUAUAUACCUACUCAAAAUGUAUACUAUAAUCGACAUAAAUAUACAUAUAUCUAUUAUAAAAUACAUAUAUAAGACAAAACAAAAACUACAGUACCUACAUUUCACAGAAUAUAUUUACACAAUGAACAAAUACUUCGUUGAAAAAAAAAAGACAAUUAAUUAAAGCAGUUCAGGAACUGAACUAAACGAGUGCAAAAUUGAUAGUCAUAUUAGCAUUACACUUAUACAGUUUUUAAUUUAUUAGCCGGCUGUCUGACAAGCUGCUUAUGAGAAGGGGUGACCCACAGCCGAGUCACUCGAGCUAUGCUUGAUACUUCUUCAACAUCUGUUUGUUUCUUUCAAUAACUAAAACUCUCUAAGUCAACAUGACCUACCUAUUUCUAUCGGGAGCAAUCCUACUAUCCCGUUCGACUGGUAGUAGAACUAUUAUUCUAAUGCAAUUGAUAAUUCAAGAACAUAUUUCUGGUGGUGUGACCUCUUGUGAGUCCGCGUGGGUGGGUACCACCACCCUGCCUAUUUCUGCCGUGAAGCAGUAAUGCGUUUCGGUUUGAAGGGUGGGGCAGCCGUUGUAACUAUACUUGAGACCUUAGAACUUAUAUCUCAAGGUGGGUGGCGCAUUUCCGUUGUGGAUGUCUAUGGGCUCCAGUAACCACUUAACACCAGAUGGGCUGUGAGAUCGUCCACCCAACUAAGCAAAAAAAAAAGAUUAGAAGUAUCCCAUCAUCACGGUGAAAUCUUUAACAAAGCGCCGCGUCGUGCUAAACGUCUUACGUCAAUAUUCAAUUGGGAAUAUUUUCCAAAAUUUAUUAUUCGAUGUUCCGAUACAUGAUUUAUAAUACAAGAUGACGAGGUCGACCACCCAGAGCGUGUAUUGCCGACGCAAGAUGAAAUCGAUGAGUAUGUCCAAGGAUAAACCUAAACAAAAAACUUGUUUCACAUCAAUUUAAAUGACAAGACAAUAUGCGUAAUACCCUAUUAUCCAAUAACAUAAUAAUAUAAAGGCUCGUUCAAGAGAUUCGAGCGAUAGCUCGGAAAUAAUAAUAAGUAAGAUAUAAAUUAGAUUUCUGUGAUUGGUAGUGUUCUCGAAAAUGAACACGAAUUGUAAGGCCUUUUUUGCUUGAUGCAAUACCUAACAGAAUAAUUAUCUUUUACCAGUGCUUUACACAGUGCACGCAAUUUAACACAAGUAUUCUUUAAUCUUUGACGCGCGGCAUCAGCCACUUCGUGGGAACGCAGGGGCCAUUCUCAAACCUUCAAUAAGAUUUUAUAAGCACAACUUACUCAAACAACCAGUAUUUAUCAAUAACAAUAUAAAAUGAUUUGUUUGUGUGGGUAGAUUGAUAUCUUGCUUAUUUCUGUCACAGGACAUUUGAAGGGUGGGACAACCGUUAUACAACACAAUUAAAAAUUUGGCCUCAUGUCUCAAUGUUGAUGGUGGUAUUCCUAUUGUCUAGUGGUUCCCGUAAUUACUUAAUACAAGGUGGCUGGGUCGGCGAAAUUCCCAUUACCCUGUGUUCCUUCGGGACAAACAAACUGCUCUUCCUCCUUAUCUUUCUGUUGAUGUGUACCUGGAAACGAAAUUGAAGCGAACUUCGAUGAAUUCAAAUAAAUAAGAAACCACGAACCUGAGAGCCAAUUUACGAUGCUUCUAAAAAUAAUUCAACGUGAAAUUUAAAUGCUCUGUGACCAGGAAACUGCUCGAGAAUUUAGUCGGUCUUCCCAGUUUUAGCAGGACAGUUGGGCGAGCAAAGGCUCAGCCAGGAGCGGUGGGAUUUGCUACCAUCUGCCCGAGCGCACGAGCGCCCGAGCGACAAGGAAGACCUAACAACUUAAGAGCAGCUGCUUUGCAAAUAAAUCUACUACCGGAUCGGAAUCGUGACCCGCUGAAAAGAUCCAGCGAGAAACUCAGCGGGCUGAUGCGUGGGUUAGGUUGUAACUCGGCAAAGAAUUCGGGGUCCCUAAACUUGCUCUUUGUCUUAGAGCUGAAGACAUCUAGUGCUGAGGAUAACGAAUUUGUUGGAUCCGUAAUGACCUGUCCAGGGCGUCAACGUAGACUGGCUCCUUCGUAAGUAGGGUAUGGGUAGUAAUCAGCGGCGGCAACGAUAAGGCGAUUAUCAUAACGCAUAGCCUUAUCGAAGUACCUAAGCUACGCAUAUUCGUGGGUAGUUUUCUACUGAGACGGUAGAACAACUGUUAUUCAAUACAAUUGAGACGUCGACCUCAAGUCGCAGGGACCUUCACCUUGUUAUGGCUCCAGUAGCCACUUAGCACAAGGUGGACUGUUGGCUGAAACAUAGUUUUGUGUACAAAUGAUUUCUAGCAUAAAAAUGUCCACAUUAAUUUUCUUAAGUUUUCGUAAGUUGUUGACAUAAUUUAAACUACUUUACAGUUUAAUUUCCCUUUUUUUAUUGUUACAAACGUCAGUCAUCCGUGACCACUAAAACCGUAAAAGUAAAAUAGAAACGUCGAAAAUGAUAUAAUGAUAAUAAAAAGUGCGAGCAAAUUAAAUCCUAAAUGUAGUUUUAAUAAUGUCCGUAUUCACUUAUUCUGUAAACCAUCCGCUUAGUUUCAGUAGUAAUUAUUUCAAUUAUAGGUAGAUUAGCUAUACGAUUGCAAACCAAAAGUCAACGUUUAUAUUAUUUUCAAUCAUAUGAAUAAACACUUCGCCGUCCAACGUCUGCGCUUCAGGGCAAUCACUUCCGUUGUUUAAUUUUCAUCCUCUCACUUCUAGACAUACACUACGCACAAGGCUGUUUUAUUUCUAUUCAUAUGUUUCUUUUUAUUAACUUACGCUAGCAAUAUUAGCAGAUGUUAUGUUGUUUUAUGCUAUGUUAUGUAUAGAUACAAACGUUUGUUAGCAGAUAAGCAUUCUCCUACAAGGCAAGCAUCGCCCAUUUGAUUUUAUAAUAAUAAAUAAUAAUAAAAAAUUUAUAAAUAAUAAAUAAAUAAAUAAAUAUAAAUACGAAGCUAA